AUACGGAGGAUCCGAGCGUUAUCCGGAUUUAUUGGGUUUAAAGGGAGCGUAGGCGGACGCUUAAGUCAGUUGUGAAAGUUUGCGGCUCAACCGUAAAAUUGCAGUUGAUACUGGGUGUCUUGAGUACAGUAGAGGCAGGCGGAAUUCGUGGUGUAGCGGUGAAAUGCUUAGAUAUCACGAAGAACUCCGAUUGCGAAGGCAGCUUGCUGGAAUGUAACUGACGCUGAUGCUCGAAAGUGUGGGUAUCAAACAGGAUUAGAUACCCUGGUAGUCCACACAGUAAACGAUGAAUACUCGCUGUUUGCGAUAUACAGUAAGCGGCCAAGCGAAAGCGUUAAGUAUUCCACCUGGGGAGUACGCCGGCAACGGUGAAACUCAAAUGAAUUGACGGGG
rnacentral:rRNA from 1 species